AUUGAACGCUGGCGGCAGGCUUAACACAUGCAAGUCGAGCGGAGAUGAGGUGCUUGCACCUUAUCUUAGCGGCGGACGGGUGAGUAAUGCUUAGGAAUCUGCCUAUUAGUGGGGGACAACAUUCCGAAAGGAAUGCUAAUACCGCAUACGUCCUAUGGAAGAAAGCAGGGGAUCUUCGGACCUUGCGCUAAUAGAUGAGCCUAAGUCGGAUUAGCUAGUUGGUGGGGUAAAGGCCUACCAAGGCGACGAUCUGUAGCGGGUCUGAGAGGAUGAUCCGCCACACUGGGACUGAGACACGGCCCAGACUCCUACGGGAGGCAGCAGUGGGGAAUAUUGGACAAUGGGGGGAACCCUGAUCCAGCCAUGCCGCGUGUGUGAAGAAGGCCUUAUGGUUGUAAAGCACUUUAAGCGAGGAGGAGGCUACUGAGACUAAUACUCUUGGAUAGUGGACGUUACUCGCAGAAUAAGCACCGGCUAACUCUGUGCCAGCAGCCGCCGUAAUAC
rnacentral:rRNA from 1 species